rnacentral:rRNA from 1 species
AACCUUUAGCCCAUAAACCAGUAUUAAAGGCAAUGCCUGCCCAGUGAGAACAUCUUUAACGGCCGCGGUACCCUAACCGUGCAAAGGUAGCGUAAUCAUUUGUCUAUUAAUUGUAGACCAGUAUGAAUGGCCACAUGAGAGCCAAACUGUCUCUUGUAAUAAAUCAAUUAAACUGAUCUCCCAGUACAAAAGCUGGGAUAAACAUAUAAGACCAGAAGACCCUGUGAAGCUUAAACAAACCUAUUAAAUCACCUAAUAGCUACUUUCGGUUGGGGCGACCUUGGAACAAAACAAAACUUCCAAAAACAACGAGAACUACCUCAUAUAAUACAAGACCAACAAGUCACAGUACGACCCAGUAUAACUGAUUAUUGAACCAAGUUACUCCAGGGAUAACAGCGCUAUCUUCUUCAAGAGCCCAUAUCAAAAAGAAGGUUUACGACCUCGAUGUUGGAUCAGGACACCCAAAUGGUGCAGCCGCUAUUAAAGGUUCGUUUGUUCAACGAUUAACAGUCCU